UACGUAGGGAGCAAGCGUUGUUCGGAUUUACUGGGCGUAAAGGGCGCGUAGGCGGCAAUUCAAGUCAUCUGUGAAAUCUCCGGGCUUAACUCGGAACGGUCAGAUGAUACUGCUUUGCUAGAGUGCAGAAGGGGCAAUCGGAAUUCUCGGUGUAGCGGUGAAAUGCGUAGAUAUCGAGAGGAACACCAGAGGUGAAGACGGGUUGCUGGGCUGACACUGACGCUGGAGGCGCGAAAGCCAGGGGAGCAAACGGG
rnacentral:rRNA from 1 species